GACUGGGGGAGCCGGGGGGCGUUUAGGGGCGCGUUGUGUUGGGCAGCGGGGGCCGGGUAAGCCCGUUAUCUGCCGGGUGACCCCGGGGGGAGCCGUGGCAGGGCUGCGGGGCUGGUGCUCUCUGGGUGUCUCAAGUUUUGCUUUGAAAUUCUAAACCCUUUCCCUGUGCAGGGUUGCGAGGCAAAGACUGCUUUAACUGGGUUUUUUUUGGUGCUGCAUUAAUGCUUUUUGCUCGUUCUGUGUCAAUUUGCAGCCUGGCUCGUGGUUUCUCCUGGUGCUGGUGGAGUGGAGGUGAGUUGUGCUUCCUGCUGGGAGAGAGAAGGGCCUGGGGAAGCUGCUCCAUGAACCACAGCUGUGCCGAGCCUGGGAGAUUGUCCAGCAGGAUGUCGAGUGCCACCGUGUCCCUGAGGUCACCCUUUCUGCUGUUGGGAGAGCACGAGGUGGAUGGAGAGGAUCCCCAGGCAUCUGCAGGCACAAGGGACUCGUACAACUGUGAUUUUCCUACAGCCCUCAUAAGGUGGACUUUGAGGGUACCAUGGGUAAUGUGCCAGCUCUCCUGCUGGAGUUUUUGUUUUCUGCUGUAUUUGAAUAUAAAGAGUAAAACUAAAGUCAGGUCUGUUCUGGAGUAUGUUA